CUGCCAGAGCUAACCAGUGCUGCACAAGCUGAGCAAUAUGGCUUUGAAAAACUCUGCCGUCCUCCUCCUCGGGCUUCUUCUCUCUUGCGUUGCCAUGAGCAGUGCGGCGAGAAUCCUAGAAGAAACUGUCCCGUCCAAGGAGGAGCACCUGCCACCUAAGCCUGAGCUACCCAAGGUAGAACUGCCACCAUUCCCGGAAGUGCACCUGCCACCUAAGCCUGAGCUUCCCAAGGUAGAACUGCCACCAUUCCCGGAAAUGUACCUGCCACCUAAGCCCGAGCUUCCCAAGAUGGAGCUGCCGCCGGUCCCGGAGGUGCACAUGCCACCCAAGCCGGAGCUGCCCAAGGUGGAGCUCCCAACGUUCCCGGAGGUUCACAUACCAUCCAAGCCGGAGAUGCCCAAGGUGGAGCUGCCGCCCAAGCCUGAGAUGCCCACUGUUCCAGGGUUCCACCUCCCGGAGCCGGAGGCCAAGCCAUGAGAAUGGGAGCUGCCUUAUCAAUAUCGUUGCCUUGUUGUACCUGCUCUGCUCCUCGUACAUGUACCUAUCGUUGUGCUGUGUCGAUGAUCUGAUUGUUUAGUUGUGGUUUUCAGCGAGUGUUGUGAGUGAUCUG
rnacentral:lncRNA from 1 species